GGGGGAGAAUGCAGAUGUAGCAGAAUUCAUGAUCAGAAGCAGAGGUACCGACAGGAAUUCACACAUCACAGGCAGAAGUGUCCACAAUCAGCGAAUAGAGAGGAUGUGGAGAGAUGUUUAUGAACAUGCCCUGGACCUCUUCUAUCAGAUCUUUACUUCAUUGGAAGAUCAGGAGACACUGAAUCCAGACAAUGAAGUCCAUCUUUUCGCUCUGCACCGGAUUUUCCUUCCACUGGUUCAACAAAGCCUCAACUCUUUUCGAGAUGCUUGGAACUUCCACGGUCUUAGAACUGAAAGGAAUCAGUCACCACAGCAACUCUGGAGAAGUUACAGAGAGCAAGGCCCUGAGGAGGAUCCUACUGAGGUUCCUGAAGAAUAUGGGAUCGAUUGGAACGGACCUCACUGCC